AGUGAACGCUGGCGGUAGGCCUAACACAUGCAAGUCGAACAGCAGCACAGUAAGAGCUUGCUCUUACGGGUGGCGAGUGGCGGACGGGUGAGGAAUACAUCGGAAUCUACUUUUUCGUGGGGGAUAACGUAGGGAAACUUACGCUAAUACCGCAUACGACCUACGGGUGAAAGCAGGGGAUCUUCGGACCUUGCGCGAUUGAAUGAGCCGAUGUCGGAUUAGCUAGUUGGCGGGGUAAAGGCCCACCAAGGCGACGAUCCGUAGCUGGUCUGAGAGGAUGAUUAGCCACACUGGAACUGAGACACGGUCCAGACUCCUACGGGAGGCAGCAGUGGGGAAUAUUGGACAAUGGGCGCAAGCCUGAUCCAGCCAUACCGCGUGGGUGAAGAAGGCCUUCGGGUUGUAAAGCCCUUUUGUUGGGAAAGAAAAGCAGCAGGUUAAUACCCCGCUGUUCUGACGGUACCCAAAGAAUAAGCACCGGCUAACUUCGUG
rnacentral:rRNA from 1 species